rnacentral:rRNA from 1 species
AGAGUGAACGCUGGCGGUAGGCCUAACACAUGCAAGUCGAACGGCAGCACGGUAAGAGCUUGCUCUUAUGGGUGGCGAGUGGCGGACGGGUGAGGAAUACAUCGGAAUCUACCUUUUGGUGGGGGAUAACGUAGGGAAACUUACGCUAAUACCGCAUACGCCCUUCGGGGGAAAGCCGGGGACCAGCAAUGGCCUGGUGCUGAUAGAUGAGCCGAUGUCGGAUUAGCUAGUUGGUGAGGUAAUGGCUUCACCAAGGCGACGAUCCGGUAGCUGGUCUGAGAGGAUGAUCAGCCACACUGGAACUGAGACACGGUCCAGACUCCUACGGGAGCAGCAGUGGGGAAUAUUGGACAAUGGGCGCGAAGCCUGGAUCCGAAGCCAUACCGCGUGGGUAGAAGUAAGGCCUUAGGUUGUUAAACGUACCCGUUUUGGUAGGUAAAGAAAAG